ACACAACGCAAGCGGUCCCUUACGACAAAGGAAAGCAAAGUGCACUCCCUUUUAACACGAUCACCGCGAGGCAGAGCAGCGUGCUAAGUACCAGCGCUCUGUAGCUCCUCAGUCUGCCUCUCUCAACAAGCCCCUUCUGUGCUGCCCAUGGAUUCAUCUCGAGAUAACAUUCUUCAGCAUAAGGACAACCUGCUGAUGGACACACGCAAUUAGUAGCCUGCUGACAGGCGCCCUUUCAGCCUCUCUGUGGCCCCUUUUACUCAGGUGAAGCUGGCAGAGCGAUCGAGCCACCCAUCCUUUGUUACAGCUCUAUAAAGUGGAGGAAAUAAUUCAAGAAGUCUUAAAGGGAAGCCGCGGGUUAGAAGGAAAAAUUGUGACAGCUAUUCCAUAACUGAGGAAGAAGAAACAUUUUAUCACUGUUGAAAUGGUUCCCACCACCAAAUCAAUAAGUGCUUGAGCUUUUUAUGAUUCUCCUUAGCACAGCCUUUUGAAAGCACGACCGUGAUGCAGACAACGUGCAGAUGAUGCAGAGGGCACAAGGCGGCUGGGACGAUGUGACUGCUCCCCUCGGCCUGCUGGUGUCCUGCAAGGCACAGAGAGCACACUGCACCCAGCCACCAGAUCCCAGAGCAGCCUAAUUACGUGACCUUACCACAAGGUUCAACCCCCUGGGCGGGAGGAAAGGAAAUCCUUUCAGACACAGCACGUCGGAGCUUCUUGAGAUCUUUCCCCUUUACUCAUGCCUCAGCCCCACUGCUCUCACACAUGGGCCAUGGCCUUCUGUAAUCGUGUUCCAAGCCGAACUGAAAGCAAAGUGAUCCUAGCACAUUUGGGCACGGAUCAAACAAAACGGUGUAAUGUGGUUGCAGGACAGACCACAGAUACAUUAUACCACCCUCUUCCACCCACAGCCACAGCUCCCUAAUAAAACUCAGAGAAAUCCCUGCCCUUGGGUACUGCACAUUCACACACCUGGGUCCAGAGACAAAGCUCAGGGCACAUCCGACCCCAUUUCCUUCAGCACUUGAGACCUGACCUUGACCAUCCAUUUGGCAGAGGGCGUGUGGCGUUCAGAAGCUGCUCCCCCCAGCGUCCAGGCCUUUCCCUCUGCUCACAAACACAUUACACAGAGCAGCCCAAGCUCAC